AUGCUUCAAUGGGCAGUCCAGAAGAGAUUGCUUUCUGACUUGGGGCUGGACAGUGGCAUCCCAAGGGCAUCCAUUUUUGCUGACGAUGCAGUCAUCUUCUUCAAGCCACAAAUCACGGAUCUGCGGGUGAUUUCGGAAAUUCUUCAACUUUUUGGCAAAGCCUCAGGGUUGCAUAUCAACCUACAGAAGAGCUCGACUACCUGCAUUCGAUGUGAGGAGGAAGUGAGCUCCAUGGUGGCAGAGUUCUUCCAGUGUCAACGAAAAAUUUUCCCAAUCACAUACCUCGGGCUGCCG
rnacentral:rRNA from 1 species